UGCGGCGGCUUUUUNCGUCAGGCUCAUAACCUGAAGGUCACAGGUUCAAAUCCUGUCCCCGCAA
rnacentral:tRNA from 1 species